rnacentral:rRNA from 1 species
GAUGAACGCUGGCGGCGUGCCUAAUGCAUGUAAGUCGAGCGAACAGACGAGGAGCUUGCUCCUCUGACGUUAGCGGCGGACGGGUGAGUAACACGUGGAUAACCUACCUAUAAGACUGGGAUAACUUCGGGAAACCGGAGCUAAUACCGGAUAAUAUAUUGAACCGCAUGGUUCAAUAGUGAAAGACGGUUUUGCUGUCACUUAUAGAUGGAUCCGCGCCGCAUUAGCUAGUUGGUAAGGUAACGGCUUACCAAGGCGACGAUGCGUAGCCGACCUGAGAGGGUGAUCGGCCACACUGGAACUGAGACACGGUCCAGACUCCUACGGGAGGCAGCAGUAGGGAAUCUUCCGCAAUGGGCGAAAGCCUGACGGAGCAACGCCGCGUGAGUGAUGAAGGUCUUCGGAUCGUAAAACUCUGUUAUUAGGGAAGAACAAAUGUGUAAGUAACUAUGCACGUCUUGACGGUACCUAAUCAGAAAGCCACGGCUAACUACGUG